AUUGAACGCUGGCGGCAUGCUUUACACAUGCAAGUCGGACGAGUGGCGAACGGGUGAGUAAUAUAUCGGAACGUACCGAGUAAUGGGGGAUAACUAAUCGAAAGAUUAGCUAAUACCGCAUAUUAUUCGAGGGGCCGAUAUCUGAUUAGCUAGUUGGUGGGGUAACGGCCUACCAAGGCGACGAUCAGUAGCGGGUCUGAGAGGAUGACCAGCCACACUGGAACUGAGACACGGCCCAGACUCCUACGGGAGGAAGCAGUGGGGAAUAUUGGACAAUGGGCGCAAGCCUGAUCCAGCCAUGCCGCGUGUCUGAAGAAGGCCUUCGGGUUGUAAAGGACUUUUAUCAGGGAAGCGGUACCUGAAGAAGAAGCACCGGCUAACUACGUGCCAGCCGCCGCGGUAAUUC
rnacentral:rRNA from 1 species